rnacentral:rRNA from 1 species
UACGUAGGGGGCAAGCGUUGUCCGGAAUCAUUGGGCGUAAAGCGCGCGUAGGCGGCCCGAUAAGUCCGCUGUGAAAGUCCAGGGCUUAACCCUGGGAUGCCGGUGGAUACUGUCGGGCUCGAGUCCGGAAGAGGCGAGUGGAAUUCCUGGUGUAGCGGUGAAAUGCGCAGAUAUCAGGAGGAACACCAAUGGCGAAGGCAGCUCGCUGGGACGUGACUGACGCUGAGACGCGAAAGCGUGGGGAGCAAACAGG